rnacentral:rRNA from 2 species
AGAUGCGAUCAUACCAGCACUAAUUCACCGGAUCCCAUCAGAACUCCGCAGUGAAGCCUGCUUUGGUGAGAGUAGUAAUAGGAUGGGUGACCUCCUGGGAAGUCCUCGUGUUGCACCUU